GAUUCUGCAGCAAACACUUGAAACUCUUUUCUUCUGAUUCCCAGAAGCUCUCUCCAUGAUCAUCUCCAUAUUUGUAAUAGUUGUUAAAGACUUGAUGCUCCCAAAACUACAGAUGAUGAAUAGAUUAGGCUGAAAUUUUGUUCCAGUUCUGAUACAGUGUAUAUUAUUUUUCCCAAGAGUGGGUCUGAGACCAAAUUUAAUGAAAAAUGAAAUCUAAUGGUCAAGGGGGAUUUCAUCUACUUUAAAUGUCAUUCUGAGAAAAGAUUUUGAAGCUCAAGAUAUUUAAGGUGCAUAACAACCAAAAAAUUCUUUUCCCAGCCUCCAAAAUCAUCUUUUCAUCUCCAAUGUGAGAACAUCAUCUUACCCUAUGAAUUACUUCAAUACAUCCAGCCAAAAAGGAACCAUCAUAAUUUAGGAAUUAAUUGGAAUUAUUAGCUAGACAAUUUGAGAUUGCUCAGAGCUUCAUUCUUCAUUCAAGCUUACCACAGAUAAAUCUCAAUGAAUGAGUGAAGGAAAUGGGGAAAAGAAAUGGAAAUGGUCUGGAAAAACAAACCUUUAAUACGUUUAGGGGGUUCACGUCGAUAUGCAAUUUCUCCAAAUCAGGUGAACUUUUUAGCAGGCUUGCAAUCCCAGGGAGGUCCCAUUUUUUGGGCAAAGUGUUUAGGAUUAAAUAUCGGUGCUUUGACAACGGAGAAGGCAUAGAUUUCAUUUCCAAUACCGACAAAACCUAUGUGCACCAAAAAAAGAAGCAAAUGAAUAUGAAUGCAAGAACAAUGUAUUAGUCAUUUUAAAGAACAACACUACUACUAGUCCCGGCAUGAACAUUAGCCUUUUUCUUUGAUGUAUGUGAAAUUUAGCAGAAAUAUUUAUGGAAUAAAUACAAUUUUUUUUAUUACAAUUCUUAAUUUAACCGAAGGACCAAGUUGCAUGGACCCAGGAAUGUGUGUGGUGUGCAUUUGUGUAAUUAUUAGUUUUAUGAAAUCCCAAAAUCUUAGGACACUCAGACAUGUCAGAAUAGCAGAGGUCAAUCUUUCUUCUAUAACACCCUAGUUCAAAAUGAACUGUAAUAUAGCAUGUCUAACAAAGGAAGUAGACUGGACACAAAUCCUAUAGAUGUUCCUAUUGUGCACCCUGAAUGACACAUGCUUCACAUACAUUUUCUAAAUGUUCAUGUAACAAAGACAACACACAUUUUCAAAAAUGAAGAAGUCAUGGCAGAAAUUCUCAUAUACAUAUUUUAUUACUUAUAGAAGGAUAUAUAUAUGGAAACUUUGCAAUCUUAAGUCUAAAACCAUGAACACUUUCUUAUAGUUAUGCUAUGGCUAUGUUUGGUUCCUAAAAAUUUGAAGAAAAAUGUAAGGGAAAGAAAAUAGAGAGGAAAAGUAGAAGGAAAAAAAGAGUUAAGGAAAAUAACAAAAAUAGAUUUAAAGUUAAUAAAUUAUUUUUAUAUACUACUUCAAACUCAUUUCACUUAUUUUUACUCUUCGAUAUAAAGAUUAAAUAAUUUGAAAAUGCAUAAGUUUUUAACUAGUUUUAAUUAUAUUUUAUAUACUACUUCAAAAUCAUUUUCCUUGACAUUUUUUUUUCCUUAAUACUUUCUGGGAACCAAACAAAACCUAGAGAUACAACAUUUUUCAUUGUAGAUAAGGACAGUUUAGGAAAUUGGAUUGCUACAAAAUUUAUUUAGUUAUAUCUGCGGAUAACACACCCUUAUUCAGGAUGCACAAUUGGCACUAUUAGGCGUUAAUUGUUGUGUAGAAAGAAAAUGUGUACACAGAACGGGUAGAGCUAUGACAGUAUAAGACAUUUCGUUCACCAGUCACAAAGGAAUGGGUACAAAUACCAUUAUUUUCAUUGGCAUCUUUGAUUGGAUCCCCACAUAAAUCAGUUGAUUACAACAAAGCUUUAACUAUAUUACUCUCUAAGUUAGAAAAAUUUGUUCAACACAAAAGAAAAUAUUAUAUAUCAAGAUUCUGCAUUGAAUUUUUUAAACCAAUAUCAUGGAGCAUUCACCAAUUUUAAUUCAAAUCAAGAAUCAAGAAGCACUGAACUUCCAUAAAGACCGUGCAUCUCCAGCUAAUUCAUGGGGUGGACACGAAUUAUCAUUUACAUGAGAAACCUUCUAAUCACAGAGUUCAAUGACAACACAGGGCAGUAGGAACAUGUUGUGAAUAAAGAUCUGGAAGGCCCCUCAGUUCAAAGAGAGUGGAGACCCUCAGAAUUUUAAGGGUCAGUGGAAAAAACCCUGAAGUACUCCACUUCCCAAUCACAGGUUUUUCACACUUCAUUCAAAAAAGCAGUAUAAAUAUUGGAAAUUGGCAGAGAAAGGUAGAGAAUAAGAUACCUCAAGGCACCAAGUCCCUACAGUAAGGUUUUCAACAUGACUAAGUUGUUUAAGAAUCUCUCUCAGCAUGUUACUGUAGUCCUCACUGAAAUACUGAAAAUUUCUGUCCUGAUGCAUCAUCUGAAUAUCAAGCUUAGCAUUAACCAAAGACGACAUGUCCAGUAACCGGCACAUUUUUUCCCAAUUGCCUGAAAGUUCAAGUGACCGGAUAUUAGGAGCCGAGACUUCCAAUACAGUUUCGCCUUCUGCAUCAUUAGGAGCCCAAGGUUCGAGGAUGGACAGUUUCUUCANNNNNNNNNNNNNNNNNNNNNNNNNNNNNNNNNNNNNNNNNNNNNNNNNNNNNNNNNNNNNNNNNNNNNNNNNNNNNNNNNNNNNNNNNNNNNNNNNNNNGAAUGAGUGAAGGAAAUGGGGAAAAGAAAUGGAAAUGGUCUGGAAAAACAAACCUUUAAUACGUUUAGGGGGUUCACGUCGAUAUGCAAUUUCUCCAAAUCAGGUGAACUUUUUAGCAGGCUUGCAAUCCCAGGGAGGUCCCAUUUUUUGGGCAAAGUGUUUAGGAUUAAAUAUCGGUGCUUUGACAACGGAGAAGGCAUAGAUUUCAUUUCCAAUACCGACAAAACCUAUGUGCACCAAAAAAAGAAGCAAAUGAAUAUGAAUGCAAGAACAAUGUAUUAGUCAUUUUAAAGAACAACACUACUACUAGUCCCGGCAUGAACAUUAGCCUUUUUCUUUGAUGUAUGUGAAAUUUAGCAGAAAUAUUUAUGGAAUAAAUACAAUUUUUUUUAUUACAAUUCUUAAUUUAACCGAAGGACCAAGUUGAUUGGACCCAGGAAUGUGUGUGGUGUGCAUUUGUGUAAUUAUAAGUUUUGUGAAAUCCCAAAAUCUUAGGUCACUCAGACAUGUCAGAAUAGCAGAGGUCAAUCUUUCUUCUAUAACACCUUAGUUCAAAAUGAACUGUAAUAUAGCAUGUCUAACAAAGGAAGUAGACUGGACACAAAUCCUAUAGAUGUUCCUAUUGUGCACCCUGAAUGACACAUGCUUCACAUACAUUUUCUAAAUGUCCAUGUAACAAAGACAACACACAUUUUCAAAAAUGAAGAAGUCAUGGUGGAAAUCCUCAUAUACAUCUUUUAUUACUUAUAGAAGGACAUAUAUAUAUAUGGAAACUUUGCAAUCUUAAGUCUAAAACCAUGAACACUUUCUUAUAGUUAUGCUAUGGCUAUGUUUGGUUCCUAAAAAAUUUGAAGAAAAAUGUAAGGGAAAGAAAAUAGAAGAGAAAAGUAGAAGGAAAAAAAGAGUUAAGGAAAAUAACAAAAAUAGAUUUAAAGUUAAUAAAUUAUUUUUAUAUACUAUCUCAAACUCAUUUCACUUAUUUUAACUCUUCGAUAUAAAGAUUAAAUAAUUUGAAAAUGCAGAAGUUUUUAACUAGUUUUAAUUAUAUUUUAUAUACUACUUCAAAAUCAUUUUCCUUAACAUUUUUUUUCUUUAAUACUUUCUGGGACCCAAACAGAUCCUGGAGAUAUAACAUUUUUCAUUGUAGAUAAGGACAGUUUAGGAAAUUGGAUUGCUGCAAAAUUCAUUUAGUUAUAUCUGCGGAUAAUGCACCCUUAUUCAGGAUGCACAAUUGGCACUAUUAGCCGUUAAUUGUUGUGUAGAAAGAAAAUGUGUACACAGAAUGGGCAGAGCUAUGACAGUAUAAGACAUUUCGUUCACCAGUCACAAAGGAAUGGGUACAAAUACCAUUAUUUUCAUUGGCAUCUUUGAUUGGAUCCCCACACAAAUCAGUUGAUUACAACAAAGCUUUAACUCUAUUCCUCUCUAAGUUAGAAAAAUUUGUUCAACACAAAAGAAAAUAUUAUAUAUCAAGAUUCUGCAUUGAAUUUUUUAAACCAAUAUCAUGGAGCAUUCACCAAUUUUAAUUCAAAUCAAGAAUCAAGAAGCACUGAACUUCCAUAAAGACCGUGCAUCUCCAGCUAAUUCAUGGGGUGGACACGAAUUAUCAUUUACAUGAGAAACCUUCUAAUCACAGAGUUCAAUGACAACACAGGGCAGUAGGAACAUGUUGUGAAUAAAGAUCUGGAAGGCCCCUCAGUUCAAAGAGAGUGGAGACCCUCAGAAUUUUAAUGGUCAGUGGAAAAAACCCUGAAGUACUCCACUUCCCAAUCACAGGUUUUUCACACUUCAUUCAAAAAAGCAGUAUAAAUAUUGGAAAUUGGCAGAGAAAGGUAGAGAAUAAGAUACCUCAAGGCACCAAGUCCCUACAGUAAGGUUUUCAACAUGACUAAGGUGUUUAAGAAUCUCUCUCAGCAUGUUACUGUAGUCCUCACUGAAAUACUGAAAAUUUCUAUCCUGAUGCAUCAUCUGAAUAUCAAGCUUAGCAUUAACCAAAGACGACAUGUCCAGUAACCGGCACAUUUUUUCCCAAUUGCCUGAAAGUUCAAGUGACCGGAUAUUAGGAGCCGAGACUUCCAAUACAGUUUCGCCUUCUGCAUCAUUAGGAGCCCAAGGUUCGAGGAUGGACAGUUUCUUCAGACUCUCAGAACAAAUAUUAAUCCGAGCAAAGCCGUGACAUCGGUGGAAUUCCAAGCACUCCAGAGCCGGACUGCCCAUCAAAAUGUUCCGAAUCGUUUCCUCAUUCAACUCAGCAUACCCAAUU
rnacentral:lncRNA from 1 species